rnacentral:rRNA from 1 species
CGACCUCGAUGUUGAAUUAAAUUUUCUCUAUUUCGCAAUAGAAAUAAAAGUAGGUCUGUUCGACCUUUAAAAAUUUACAUGAUUUGAGUUCAAACCGGUGUGAGCCAGGUUGGUUUCUAUCUUUUUUAAUUAUUUUCCAGUACGAAAGGACAAAAAAUAAUAUUUUAAAUAAUUUAUUGGCAGAAAAUUGCAUUAGAAUUAGAAUCUAAUCAU